rnacentral:rRNA from 1 species
UACGGGGGGGGCAAGCGUUGUUCGGAAUUACUGGGCGUAAAGGGCUCGUAGGCGGCCAACUAAGUCAGACGUGAAAUCCCUCGGCUUAACCGGGGAACUGCGUCUGAUACUGGAUGGCUAGAGGUUGGGAGAGGGAUGCGGAAUUCCAGGUGUAGCGGUGAAAUGCGUAGAUAUCUGGAGGAACACCGGUGGCGAAGGCGGCAUCCUGGACCGGCAUUGACGCUGAGGCGCGAAAGCUAGGGGAGCAAACGGG